rnacentral:rRNA from 1 species
GAUGAACGCUGGCGGCGUGCCUAAUACAUGCAAGUCGAGCGAACGGACGAGAAGCUUGCUUCUCUGAUGUUAGCGGCGGACGGGUGAGUAACACGUGGAUAACCUACCUAUAAGACUGGGAUAACUUCGGGAAACCGGAGCUAAUACCGGAUAAUAUUUUGAACCGCAUGGUUCAAAAGUGAAAGACGGUCUUGCUGUCACUUAUAGAUGGAUCCGCGCUGCAUUAGCUAGUUGGUAAGGUAACGGCUUACCAAGGCAACGAUGCAUAGCCGACCUGAGAGGGUGAUCGGCCACACUGGAACUGAGACACGGUCCAGACUCCGACGGGAGGAAGCAGUAGGGAAUCUUCCGCAAUGGGCGAAAGCCUGACGGAGCAACGCCGCGUGAGUGAUGAAGGUCUUCGGAUCGUAAAACUCUGUUAUUAGGGAAGAACAUAUGUGUAAGUAACUGUGCACAUCUUGACGGUACCUAAUCAGAAAGCCACGGCUAACUACGUG